rnacentral:rRNA from 1 species
AUGAACGCUGGCGGCGUGCUUCACCCAUGCCCGUCGAGCGAGAAGUUUUGAAAAGAUUCUUCGGAUGAAAUUUAAAAUGGAAAGCGGCGGACGGGUGAGUAACGCGUAGGCAACCUGCCCCAUACAAAGGGAUAGCAUUUGGAAACGAAUAUUAAUACCUUAUGAAACUUAACUAGUGCAUGCUAGGUAGGUCAAAGAUUUAUCGGUAUGGGAUGGGCCUGCGUCUGAUUAGCUAGUUGGUGAGGUAACGGCUCACCAAGGCGACGAUCAGUAGCCGACCUGAGAGGGUGAACGGCCACAUUGGAACUGAGACACGGUCCAAACUCCUACGGGAGGCUGCAGUGGGGAAUAUUGCACAAUGGGGGAAACCCUGAUGCAGCAACGCCGCGUGAACGAUGAAGGCCUUUGGGUCGUAAAGUUCUGUUCUAGGUGAUGAAAACUGACAGUAACCUAGGAGAAAGCCCCGGCUAACUCCGUG